GCUAACGUCAGUGCCACGGGCCCUCUUUGGUUCUCCUGCCCACCUUCUCUGACUCUGCCCAACACCCACGGGCCAGAGGCCCUUUUCCUUCUUGGCACUUCUCGGUGUUGUAGCAGGAUGAGCCACGGACAAAACCCCUCAGACGCCGGGUUAAGGAAUGAUUUGGUUUUAUUCGGCCAGGAGCUUCAGCGGACUCAAGUCUCAAGAACCGAACUCUCUGAAGACAGAGUUCCUGGCCCUUUUAAGGGUUUACAACCUUUAGGUUCCACGUGAAAGGGUCGUGAUAGAUUGAGAGCACAUGCGUUUAGAGUGGGGUGGGGGGGUUAAUCUUUUAACCUCAGGCCUGAUCAUCAGGGGCACCAGCUGGUCUUGCCACUGACUUCAUUCCUGUUGUUUUUCAACUUUUACUUCCUCCUCCUCUUCAGACAGGAGACAGUAAGAGAAAUGGCCUCUCUCCUCAGCGGCACAAUGGACUUUAGACAUCGCGCCUGUUUUGUACUCUCCAAGCCGGACUUCUCUACUCGCUGGCCUGGCGCUGAUGCCCAGAGGCCCCCUGUGCUUGUGGUCGUGGCCUUAGACAGUUCCCUGCCCUUUGUUCCAGCCCCGCCACACAGUCUGCACGGCCUCCACCGCAGCUCUGGUGAGCCUCUUGGCCAGCUCCUGGUGACAGCGUGCACCUCCCUGCUCUGAGAAGGUCUCCCUCUCCUCUCUGCCCACCCUGUACAGAGACAUCU
rnacentral:lncRNA from 10 species